rnacentral:lncRNA from 1 species
CCGCGACUCUGGGCUUUCCAGCCCGCGGGCCGGGCUGCCGGACCCGCGAGAAGUUCGGGGAGGCCAGGGAGCGCUCGGGAGCCAGGCUCGGCGGCCGCAGGGAGCGCCAGAGGCGGCGGACCGCUCGGCUCCCGCCGGGCUCUUUGUCAUGCACAUGAGGGCGCUGGACUGAGAAAAGGUCUCCGUCAAGGCGUCGCCACAUGAAGGGCACUUUUCUUCCCCGGUCUGCGUCUUGGCACAGGCCUGCUGCUUCCAAGUGGCCUCUUAUUCAAAGGGCCCGGCCCCCAUUCUUUGUCCCCCUAGGUGCCCGGCCCGCGGCCCCUGGCAGCUGCUGCGCCGUCAGAGGCCCCAUAAAGCCCGCUCUGCAGUGGUUCCGGGCACCGGUUCUGCUCAACGGAGUGACCAGGGAGGAUGGCCCGCMUUGCGUCCUGCUGGCCCGCACUGCCCCCCGCCUCCCGCGUCCCCUAGCUCUAGUCCUCUGGUUGUGCUAAUGUUUGUUAAAAGAGUGAGAAAACAAAAUUAGAGCUUUAGGUGUCAGACCGCCAACAGGCUGUGCCCCGCUUUCAUAUAGGACCCCAGAGCUCCAGAGCUGUGCUGCCCCCACCCCCACCCCCAGCCGGAGUGCAGGGUGCCAGGUAGUGGCCCAGGGAAAGAGUCCUUGGGAUUCAGCUCCUCUUGCCUCUCCAGCUUGCUUUUGUUUUUUCCUUUUCUUUUUCUUUUUUUUGUACUAGGGAUUGUUGAACCAAGAGUGCUUAACCAUUGAGCAUCCCCAGUCCUUUUUCUUUUCAUUUUGAGACAAGGUCUCACUAAGUUGCUUUAGGUCUGGCUAAAUUGCUGAGGCUGGCUUUGGACUUUCCAUCCUCCUGUCUCAACCUCCUGAGUAGCUGGAAUUAUAGGGAUGCACCACCAUGCCCCACUAGAGUUUGCUUUUAAAGCUGAAUGUAUUUGCUCACAUUAGGGAAACUUGGUGUCUGGGUCAACUCUGUGUUGCUAUAAUAAAUAUCUGAAGCUGC